UACGAAGGGGGCUAGCGUUGUUCGGAUUUACUGGGCGUAAAGCGCACGUAGGCGGUUUGUUAAGUCAGGGGUGAAGUCCCGGAGCUCAACUCCGGAACUGCCUUUGAUACUGGCAAGCUAGAGUCCGGAAGAGGUAAGUGGAACUCCUAGUGUAGAGGUGGAAUUCGUAGAUAUUAGGAAGAACACCAGUGGCGAAGGCGGCUUACUGGUCCGGAACUGACGCUGAGGUGCGAAAGCGUGGGGAGCAAACAGGAUAGAAACC
rnacentral:rRNA from 1 species